CCUACGGGAGGCAGCAGUGGGGAAUUUUGGACAAUGGGCGCAAGCCUGAUCCAGCCAUGCCGCGUGUGGGAAGAAGGCCUUCGGGUUGUAAACCACUUUUGUCAGGGAAGAAACGGUCUGAACUAAUACUUUGGACUAAUGACGGUACCUGAAGAAUAAGCACCGGCUAACUACGUGCCAGCAGCCGCGGUAAUACGUAGGGUGCAAGCGUUAAUCGGAAUUACUGGGCGUAAAGCGUGCGCAGGCGGCUUUGCAAGACAGAUGUGAAAUCCCCGGGGCUCAACCUGGGAACUGCAUUUGUGACUGCAUGGCUAGAGUACGGUAGAGGGGGAUGGAAUUCCGCGUGUAGCAGUGAAACUGCGUAGAUAUGCGGAGGAACACCGAUGGCGAAGGCAAUCCCCUGGACCUGUACUGACGCUCAUGCACGAAACGCGUGGGGAGCAAACAGGAUUAGAUACCCUGGUAGUCCACGCCCUAAACGAUGUCAACUGGUUGUUGGGAGGGUUUCUCUCAGUACGAAGCUAACGCGUGAGUUGACGCNGGGGAGUCGGCGNGAAGUUGAACUUAAGGAUUG
rnacentral:rRNA from 1 species